GGGAGGUAGUGACAAUAAAUAACAAUACAGGGCUCUUACGGGUCUUGUAAUUGGAAUGAGUACAAUUUAAAUCUCUUAACGAGGAACAAUUGGAGGGCAAGUCUGGUGCCAGCAGCCGCGGUAAUUCCAGCUCCAAUAGCGUAUAUUAAAGUUGUUGCAGUUAAAAAGCUCGUAGUUGAAUUUUGGGUCUGGCCGGACGGUCCGCCUUUUAGGUAAGCACUGUUCCGAUGUUGGGCCUAUCCUUCUGGUGAGUCGGCAUGUCCUUUAUUGGGUGCGUCGGGGAACCAGGACCAUUACCUUGAAAAAAUUAGAGUGUUCAAAGCAGGCGUAUGCUCGAAUACAUUAGCAUGGAAUAAUAAAAUAGGACGCGUGGUGCUAUUUUGUUGGUUUCUAGAACCGCCGUAAUGAUUAAUAGGGAUAGUUGGG
rnacentral:rRNA from 1 species